AGUGAACGCUGGCGGUAGGCCUAACACAUGCAAGUCGAACGGCAGCACAGUAAGAGCUUGCUCUUACGGGUGGCGAGUGGCGGACGGGUGAGGAAUACAUCGGAAUCUACUUUUUCGUGGGGGAUAACGUAGGGAAACUUACGCUAAUACCGCAUACGACCUACGGGUGAAAGCAGGGGAUCUUCGGACCUUGCGCGAUUGAAUGAGCCGAUGUCGGAUUAGCUAGUUGGCGGGGUAAAGGCCCACCAAGGCGACGAUCCGUAGCUGGUCUGAGAGGAUGGUCCGCCACACUGGAACUGGGACACGGUCCAGGCUCCUGCGGGAGGGAGCAGUGGGGAAUAUUGGACAAUGGGCGCAAGCCUGAUCCAGCCAUACCGCGUGGGUGAAGAAGGCCUUCGGGUUGUAAAGCCCUUUUGUUGGGAAAGAAAAGCAGCAGGUUAAUACCCCGCUGUUCUGACGGUACCCAAAGAGUAAGCACCGGCUAACUUCGUG
rnacentral:rRNA from 1 species